GGCGCCGGCAGCGAGGCAAAGGGAAAGCGAAAGGCGAAGGGAAAGCGAAAGCGCAGCGCGGGGCACUGCGGAGCGGGACCCACGGGCACCACCCGCAGCGCCCCGAGCAUCCCCGCCGGGGGGCCGCAGUGCUCAACACAGGGUUUAUACCCAGAAGAUAAAGGGGAUGGGUCUGGCCGGGAUGAAGAGGCUGACUGCAGGGUCCAGCAGCUGCUCCGCAUCCACAGUGACAAAAAGACCCUGCUGGGACAGGGGACACAGGGAUGGCGGGUGGCCACAGCAAGUCCUCUGGAUUGCCCCAUGCUUGGCCCAGGAGAGGUUCCCCUCCGUGAGGUGCUUUCUGUUUGGGACAGGUGAAGGCUGAGAUCUUCCUUUCGGCAUUUCCCGUGCGUCCUGCAGCCAAACCGCUGCCCUCUGCAUAAAAGUGCUGGAAGCCCACCCGAGGCAUGUCUGGAGGUCUCCUCCUGAGACAUGGAGUCCUCGUGGUCAAAGCAAGCACGUUGGUGCCCAGCUGUGCUGUCAUACCAACAAAAGCCCUUUCCCACCUUACAUCUCCUCACCGUCAGAGGUUUAGCUCUGGCUCACCUGCCUGUUAUUACCUGCUUUUUCUUCCCUGAAGUUCCAACUCUGACCCACCAAGACUGUGACCAGAGCACCUCUGCAUUUCAGUGAUGAGCACUGGCGUCCCCACAGUGCUCAGCAGGGAGCCGAUGGGGACAGGACCAGGACACUCCACCAGGAACAGAACACAGCGCUGCCUUGCCUACCCUGAGGCUUUAGGAUUUAUGUCCACAGAUGGCUUUGCUGGUGGUGGAGGUGAUGAUAAAUAUUGGGAACACAAGCAUAAUGGGUGGAGAACAUCAAGCAUCAGCACUUUAGUACCGCCAUCAAACUGCCAGGAUUUCCUCUCUGUGCACCAGGAGUGAAGUCCUGGCUGGCCGUGAGACCCCCCAAGCUGUACGAGCCCAGAAAACAGGUCCCGUUGGGGCAGAGGGGCCUCAGGCCUGCAGCCAGGGGGGUGGCGAUGCAUUCAAACCCCAUGCUACUUCUCACCCCUCCUCCUGCAUCUCCAGCGGCGCACCCAGGGGAGCAGAGGACCAUUGGAGCAGGUGCCUGAGGCUCGCACCACCACCAAGGGCUGCCAGACCCAGGCAGGCGUCUCAACACCUUUGGGUGCUGCAGGGACCCUGGAGGGGGCGGUUCGAGGACGUGCUGUGUUAUCUGGCUUGAGAAAACGGCAAUAGCUGGCUGUGAGGGUGUCAGCUGUCACCCUUUCUCCUUGACAUCUGGGAAAUUGCUUUUGAACUGUUUAAGAUCCUAAAUUGCUAGUACAAUGAAUGUGCAUGUUGUAUUUUAAUAAUCGGCUGUGCUGGAUUUGUUGGACUUUUUGAGGGAGGAGAGAGAUCUGCACCAUGGCCAGCCUUACCUCCAUCAAGGCAGUGGGUCCUCGGUUAACUGCCUUACUCCAUAUAAGGUUAAAAUCAGAUUUGUCAUCUUAAAAUACAUUGCUAUCCAAUAGUCCGGUAAUAUUUGGAAAAGAUUUGGUAAGUAACGUCUGCUGCACUGAAAAUUAAAUUAAAGAUGCAAAAUGGGAAUUUAAAGAAAACAGGCUUUGCUACAAAUAAAGUCUUUGAAGAUA